AAACCAGGCCUUUGCAGUGAUAUCUGAAUAGCAUAAGGCCAGCAUGGGCGUCAGGAUGGAGUCACAUACUAGGGUCUUCAUAUUCCUGCUGCUCUGGUUGUCUGGUGCUGAUGGGGACAUUGUGAUGACUCAGUCUCCCACAUCCAUGUCCAUAUCAGUAGGAGACAGGGUCACCAUGAACUGCAAGGCCAGUCAAAAUGUGGGUUCUAAUGUAGACUGGUACCAACAGAAAACAGGGCAGUCUCCUAAACUGCUUAUCUACAAAGCAUCCAACCGGUACACGGGAGUCCCUGAUCGCUUCACAGGCAGUGGAUCUGGAACAGAUUUCACUUUCACCAUCAGCAACAUGCAGGCUGAAGACCUGGCUGUUUAUUACUGUAUGCAGUCUAACUCCUAUCCUCCCACAGUGUUUCAGCCUCAUACACAAACCUCCUCUGAUAUUCUAACCAGCUGCCUGCACACACAGCCCUCAACCUACACACUUCUCCUUCUGCCUGCAGCUGUUAUGUCUAACUGAUGCAAAGUUUGGUAG